GGGUUGUGAGGUUAAGCGACUAAGCGUACACGGUGGAUGCCCUGGCAGUCAGAGGCGAUGAAGGGCGUGCUAAUCUGCGAUAAGCGCCGGUAAGGUGAUAUGAACCGUUAUAACCGGCGAUACCCGAAUGGGGAAACCCAGUGUGACUCGUCACACUAUCAUUAACUGAAUCCAUAGGUUAAUGAGGCGAACCGGGGGAACUGAAACAUCUAAGUACCCCGAGGAAAAGAAAUCAACCGAGAUUCCCCCAGUAGCGGCGAGCGAACGGGGAGGAGCCCAGAGCCUGAAUCAGCAUGUGUGUUAGUGGAAGCGUCUGGAAAGGCGCGCGAUACAGGGUGACAGCCCCGUACACAAAAGCGCAUGUGCUGUGAGCUCGAUGAGUAGGGCGGGACACGUGGUAUCCUGUCUGAAUAUGGGGGGACCAUCCUCCAAGGCUAAAUACUCCUGACUGACCGAUAGUGAACCAGUACCGUGAGGGAAAGGCGAAAAGAACCCCGGCGAGGGGAGUGAAAAAGAACCUGAAACCGUGUACGUACAAGCAGUGGGAGCCCCACCACCAAAGCAUUUGCUGUACCGCGUUGACGGAGCGAAGCGACGUC
rnacentral:rRNA from 2 species